GUUAUAUACUUUUCAAAACCAUCAAUUUCCAUGUCAUGAUCAUAUAAUUUUCUUGCAGCUUUUCUAGUGAAUGACUUUUUGAGACUCUUUUGUUGUGCAGCAUUCUUCGCUUCGCGAUGUUGAGGUAUUUCGGCUGGCACACCGGAUUUUGCGAAAUCGACGGCGAUUGAGUGUAGUUUUGCCAGCUCUAUACAUGAAUGGCUCAUUGCCUUUUCAGGAUCCUUAUCAGCAAAGACAGUGUGUGCACUUGCAAUGAUUCCUAAGCUGUCUUUAACUAUGUAGUGGGUGAAAUGCUCCUUUAUGUCCUGUAGUAAAGUAGUGAUAUGUCAUAGCCAACAAAUUGUUUGCAGCCAAAGAAACAUGCUUGUUGAGAUUGUAGCAUGAAUUAUUCUCAUACAUCUUUAUUAGAUUAUUAAUUUUCCUUACA